rnacentral:tRNA from 1 species
GAGGGUGUAGCUCAGUGGUAGAGCACACGCUUAGCAUGCAUGAGGUCCUGGGUUCAAUCCCCAGUACCUCCA